GCCAUUGUGGCAUAAUGGUUUGAGUACUGGACUACAACUUUGGAGGCUAGGGUUCCAUUCCCAGCACAGCCA